AGUAAAUGUUUUGGGGGAGGUUUGCUUAGUUAUUACGUCAGCGAAGCCGAUCCCAGAAAAAAAAUACUAUUCACCGGAGCAACCGACUUCUCUCCUCCUCCUCCUCCUCCUCGCCUCCACCCCCUGCAGAGCCACCAGCGAGCGAGCCCCAGGAGCGAGCAUGGCGGACGUCGAUGCUUUCGGCCGCGGGUACUUCGACUGCGGGUGGGCUUGCGGCCUGCCCGCCGACCACUAUCUGCCAGGCUUCAUCGAGAAGCACAUAGGCCGACAUGUGAGGGCGGAUGAGCAGGCAGCAGCAGCCGCGGCGGCGGCAGCGGUAGAUCAGGCAGCGGUCGAGGCACCAGCUCGCCGCCGGCGCAGAGGCAGACGACGCCGCGCCAGAGGCGGCCGCUCGUGACGUAUGGAUCGUAGAAGCAGGGUCGCAACUGAUCGACAGGGGACCUGCCAAGAUUAAUCAAAGGGCACAUAAAGAACAUCGUGUGAAGUAGAUCGAAAUCAGCCAUUCGUCGUAUUCUUUGUUAUCGUACAAAACUUGUCUCGUUUCUGCUACGUUUCUCAUACAAAUUGUCUAUUUUUUGUUAUACAUAAAGAACAUCGUGCGAAAUAGAUCAAAAUCAGCUAUUCAUCAAAUUCUUUGUCGUCAUACAAACGUGUCUUGUUUCUGCUACGUUUGUCAUACAACUUGUCUCUGGAACUCUGCAUGUACAAAUGGGAAACUGGCUUGUUCCAGCUUUGACAAAUC